rnacentral:rRNA from 1 species
UACGUAGGGUGCAAGCGUUGUCCGGAAUUAUUGGGCGUAAAGAGCUCGUAGGCGGCUUGUCGCGUCGGCUGUGAAAACCUGGGGCUCAAUUCCGGGCUUGCAGUUGAUACGGGCAAGCUAGAAUUCGGUAGGGGAGAUUGGAAUUCCUGGUGUAGCGGUGAAAUGCGCAGAUAUCAGGAGGAACACCGGUGGCGAAGGCGGGUCUCUGGGCCGUAACUGACGCUGAGGAGCGAAAGCGUGGGGAGCGAACAGG